AUGGGAACAUUGGAUCAACUUCCAAUGUCAGAUGGAUUCCCAAAACCCAUCCAGACCGUGUCUCCUAUCAUUGAAGAAAGUUGUACUGAGGCAACAUUGACUAAUACAAAGUUCUCUGAUCUUUCCAACUUGGGAAACCUCAAAGGAGAGUUUGCUGCAAUGGAGGCAGCUGCCCUGAAAGCAUACCAAGAGGAUUUGAAAAGGCUUGGCUUAGAAUCAGAAAUUUUGGAGCCAAGCAUAACACCAGUAACCAGCACUAUCCCACCCACCUCUACAUCAAAUCAACAGAAAGAAAAGAAAGAAAAGAAGAAAAGAAAAAAAGAUCCUUCAAAGGGCAGAUGGGUGGAAGGCAUAACCUCUGAGGGUUACCAUUACUAUUAUGAUCUUAUCUCAGGAGCAUCUCAGUGGGAGAAACCUGAAGGAUUUCAAGGAAACUUAAAAAAGACAGCAGUGAAGACCGUUUGGGUAGAAGGUUUAAGUGAAGAUGGUUUUACCUAUUAUUAUAAUACAGAAACAGGAGAAUCCAGAUGGGAGAAACCUGAUGAUUUCAUUCCACACACUAGUGAUCUGACUUCUAGUAAGGUCAAUGAAAAUUCACUUGGCACCCUAGAUGAAUCCAAAUCAUCAGAUUCGCAUAGUGAUUCUGAUGGGGAACAGGAAGCAGAAGAAGGAGAGGUCUCUACAGAGACACAAAAACCAAAAAUAAAAUUUAAGGAAAAAAAUAAAAAUGAUGGAGGAAGUGACCCAGAAACACAGAAAGAAAAAAGUAUUCAGAAACAGAAUUCAUUAGGUUCAAAUGAAGAAAAAUCCAAAACUUUUAAGAAAUCAAACCCAUAUGGAGAAUGGCAAGAAAUUAAACAAGAGGUUGAGUCUCAUGAGGAGGUAGAUUUGGAACUUCCAAGCACUGAAAAUGAGUAUGUGUCAACUUCUGAAGCUGAUGGUGGUGGAGAACCCAAAGUGGUAUUUAAAGAAAAAACAGUCACUUGUCUUGGAGUUGUGGCAGAAGGAGUGGCCCCAGUCUUCAAAAAGAGAAGAACUGAAAAUGGAAAAUCUAGGAAUUUAAGGCAACGAGGUGAUGAUCAAUAGUUGCAGGAGAGCUUUUUGUAUAUGCUUUUAGGACAGAAUGGAGACUUAUACAUCCAAAGUUUAUCUGUGUUUGUAAGUACUUUGAUGCUAAAAAUUUAGAUUUAUUCUAAAUUUAUUUGAUGUGAAUUAAAAUAAAUAUUUUUUCAUGUGAAAUUUAUUUUGGUUCCUAAAAUGGAAGCCUACCACAUUGCAUUGUAAUACAGUGUAUUAUGUUCUGUGUCUAAAAAUUGCUAAUUAAGUCAUAAUUUAAGAUGCUAUGUAUCUGUUAUUUAAAACAUGGAGAAACAGGGCCUUUAUUCCAUUGGUAUUCAUAUGAACAUAUUUAUCCUGCAUUGAAAAUGCAUUACUUUUGCACAUUGAUGUUAACUAUUGUCCAACAAAUAAGUAUCAGUACAUGAGAAGAUUCACAGCCCAGUGAUGAUUUGGUUCUGAGGCUGAUGUAAAAAAUGAAUGCAUAUUGGCUUACGUUACUCAAUUUAAAGUCAAAAGCCAACAACCAGGAGCAGCUCAGGUACUUCAGAGGUGCUUAAUAAUGGAGUGAAAACUGGAUCAGAGGUGGAAAUGUAUAUUUGCCCCAGUUCACUUCAAAACAGCAAACGUUUAAGCAUUUUACUUUGAACCAGGCAUUGUGUUAGGAAUCCAGGGAUAAAGAUGAAUGAAAUGUAUUUCUAUUCUUCAGUAGUUCACAUUCUAGCAUAUUCCUUUUUUCCCCCAGUCAUGCACUCUUUUUAGCAGCCUUAUAUGUACUAGAAAAGAUUUUUUAAGGUUUAUUUAAAGCUGUGUAGAUGAAGACUUGAUCUAAAAUAGUAUAAGGUCUCCGGCUUCAGUAAAAGUUUUUAGUGUUUACUUAAAUUAGUAAUUUAUCACUUUCUGUCUGUUUAAAAUGUCUUAAAAAGUAGAAUUUUCUUAUUUAAUCCAUUUAGUAGUUACCUCCCUUUUACUUUUCAAAUUCACAAAAUUAUAUUUCUCAUAAAUUGUAUAGUAUUUAACUUUUGAUAGUUAAUAUUUGUCUUUUUAAGAUUACUAGUGUACAUGUAAAAAAUAGCUUAUUAAAAACUUUGUCAAAG